rnacentral:rRNA from 1 species
UACGGGGGGGCAAGCGUUGUUCGGAAUUACUGGGCGUAAAGGGCUCGUAGGCGGCCAACUAAGUCAGACGUGAAAUCCCUCGGCUUAACCGGGGAACUGCGUCUGAUACUGGAUGGCUAGAGUUUGGGAGAGGGAUGCGGAAUUCCAGGUGUAGCGGUGAAAUGACGUAGAUAUCUGGAGGAACACCGGUGGCGAAGGGCGGCA